AUUGAACGCUGGCGGCAGGCCUAACACAUGCAAGUCGAGCGAGCGGCGGACGGGUGAGUAAUGUCUGGGAAACUGCCUGAUGGAGGGGGAUAACUACUGGAAACGGUAGCUAAUACCGCAUCCCAUCAGAUGUGCCCCGAUGGGAUGAGCUAGGAGGUGGGGUAACGGCUCACCUAGGCGACGAUCCCUAGCUGGUCUGAGCGGAUGCCGCUCCACAUUGGAACUGAGACACGGCCCAGACUCCUACGGGAGGCAGCAGUGGGGAAUAUUGCACAAUGGGCGCAAGCCUGAUGCAGCCAUGCCGCUUGUAUGAAGAAGGCCUUCGGGUUGUAAAGUACUUUCAGCGGGGAGGCGUUACCCGCAGAAGAAGCACCGGCUAACUCCGUGCUAGCAGCCGCGGUAAUUC
rnacentral:rRNA from 1 species